GAUGAACGCUGGCGGCGUGCCUAAUACAUGCAAGUCGAGCGAACAGAUGAGAAGCUUGCUUCUCUGAUGUUAGCGGCGGACGGGUGAGUAACACGUGAGUAACCUACCUAUAAGACUGGGAUAACUCCGGGAAACCGGGGCUAAUACCGGAUAAUAUUUUGAACCGCAUGGUUCAAUAGUGAAAGACGGUUUCGGCUGUCACUUAUAGAUGGACCCGCGCCGUAUUAGCUAGUUGGUAAGGUAACGGCUUACCAAGGCGACGAUACGUAGCCGACCUGAGAGGGUGAUCGGCCACACUGGAACUGAGACACGGUCCAGACUCCUACGGGAGGCAGCAGUAGGGAAUCUUCCGCAAUGGGCGAAAGCCUGACGGAGCAACGCCGCGUGAGUGAUGAAGGUCUUCGGAUCGUAAAACUCUGUUGUUAGGGAAGAACAAAUUUGUUAGUAACUGAACAAGUCUUGACGGUACCUAACCAGAAAGCCACGGCUAACUACGUGCCAGCCGCCGCGGUAC
rnacentral:rRNA from 1 species